GACAGAGGGUGCAAACGUUGUUCGGAAUUACUGGGCGUAAAGCGCGUGUAGGCGGCUAAGUAAGUCGGGCGUGAAAUCCCACGGCUCAACCGUGGAAGUGCACUCGAAACUGCGUAGCUAGAGUCCUGGAGAGGAAGGUGGAAUGCUUGGUGUAGAGGUGAAAUUCGUAGAUAUCAAGCGGAACACCGGUGGCGAAGGCGGCCUUCUGGACAGUGACUGACGCUGAGACGCGAAAGCGUGGGGGGCAAACAGG
rnacentral:rRNA from 1 species